GAUGAACGCUGGCGGCGUGCCUAAUACAUGCCAGUCGAGCGAACAGACGCGGAGCUUGCUACUCUGACGUUAGAGGCGGACGGGUGAGUAAAAUGUGGUUCACCUACCUAUAAGACUACGAUAACUUCGGGAUACCGGAGCUAAAACUGGAUUAUAUAUUGAACCUCAUGGUUCAAAAGUUAUUGAUGGGUUUGCUGUCACCUCUCGAUGGAUCCGCGCCGCAUUAGCUAGUUGGUAAGGUAACGGUUUACCAAGGCACCGACGCGAAGCCGCCCUGAGAGGGUGAGCGGGCACGCGAGAACGGAGAGACAGUUCAGACUCGAACGGGGGGCAGCAGUAGGGAGGCAGCCGCAAGGGGCGAAAGCCUGACGGAGCAACGCCGCGUGAUGGAGGAAGGUCUUCGGAUCGUAAACCUCUGUUAGGAUGGAAGAACAAUUGUGUAAGUAACUAGGCACGUCGUGACGGUAGCAAAACAGAAAGCCACGGCUAACUACGUG
rnacentral:rRNA from 1 species